AACGCUGGCGGCGCGCCUAACACAUGCAAGUCGAACGAGAGAUGAGGAGCUUGCUCUUCAGAUCGAGUGGCGAACGGGUGAGUAACGCGUGAGGAACCUGCCUCAAAGAGGGGGGACAACAGUUGGAAACGACUGCUAAUACCGCAUAAGCCCACGGCUCGGCAUCGAGCAGAGGGAAAAGGAGCAAUCCGCUUUGAGAUGGCCUCGCGUCCGAUUAGCUAGUUGGUGAGGUAACGGCCCACCAAGGCGACGAUCGGUAGCCGGACUGAGAGGUUGAACGGCCACAUUGGGACUGAGACACGGCCCAGACUCCUACGGGAGGCAGCAGUGGGGAAUAUUGGGCAAUGGGGGAAACCCUGACCCAGCAACGCCGCGUGAAGGAAGAAGGUCUUCGGAUUGUAAACUCCUGUUGUUGAGGAAGAUAAUGACGGUACUCAACAAGGAAGUGACGGCUAACUACGUG
rnacentral:rRNA from 1 species